rnacentral:rRNA from 1 species
UACGUAGGGGGCAAGCGUUGUCCGGAAUCAUUGGGCGUAAAGAGCGCGUAGGCGGUCCGGUAAGUCGGUUGUGAAAACUGGGGGCUCAACCCUCAGAGGCCGACCGAUACUGCCGGGCUAGAGUCCGGAAGAGGCGAGUGGAAUUCCUGGUGUAGCGGUGAAAUGCGCAGAUAUCAGGAGGAACACCAAUAGCGAAGGCAGCUCGCUGGGACGGUACUGACGCUAAGGCGCGAAAGCGUGGGGAGCGAACAGG